rnacentral:rRNA from 1 species
GACGUAGGGCGCGAGCGUUGUCCGGAUUUAUUGAGCGUAAAGAGCUCGUAGGCGGCUCAUCGCGUCUGCCGUGAAAACCCGCAGCUCAACUGCGGGCUUGCGGUUGAUACGGGUGGGCUGGAGUUCGGUAGGGGAGACUGGAAUUCCUGGUGUAGCGGUGAAAUGCGCAGAUAUCAGGAGGAACACCGGUGGCGAAGGCGGGUCUCUGGGCCACUACUGACGCUGAGGAGCGAAAGCGUGGGGAGCGAACAGG